GGGCCCGCACAAGCGGUGGAGCAUGUGGUUUAAUUCGAUGAUACGCGAGGAACCUUACCAGGGCUUAAAUGCAGAACGACAGACUGGGAAACCAGUCCUUCUUCGGACGAUCUGCAAGGUGCUGCAUGGUUGUCGUCAGCUCGUGCCGUGAGGUGUCGGGUUAAGUCCCAUAACGAGCGCAACCCCUAUCCUUAGUUGCCAGCGAGUAAUGUCGGGGACUCUAAGGAAACUGCCUGCGCAAGCAGUGAGGAAGGUGGGGAUGACGUCAAAUCAUCACGGCCCUUACGUCCUGGGCUACACACGUGCUACAAUGGCGCAUACAAAGGGCAGCUACCUGGUGACAGGAUGCUAA
rnacentral:rRNA from 1 species